UCCCCGGUAGCUCAACUGGCAGAGCAGCCGGCUGUUAACCGGCGGGUUGGAGGUUCGAGUCCUCCCCGGGGAGCUA
rnacentral:tRNA from 1 species